GGGUUAGUAGGUUGGUCAUGCCUCUGGUAUGCACUGGCCUCACUGAUUCCUCCUUCCUGAUGAGCCGUAAUGCCAUUAAUUUGGUGUUGCGGGGAAUUUGGACUGUUACUUUGAAAGAAUUAGAGUGUUUAAAGCAAGCUAACGCUUGAAUACAUUAGCAUGGAAUAAUGAAAUAGGACGUUCGAUCCUAUUUUGUUGGUUUCUAGGAUCACCGUAAUGAUUAAU
rnacentral:rRNA from 1 species